CCCCUUUUUUUCCCUGUCGCCUUUUUGUCCCCCUCUCGCUCUCGUCCUUUUUUUCCUCUCUUCUCUCGUCUCUCUCCUCGUCUCUCUCUUUCUCUCUCCACGUCCCUCUCUUUCUCUCUCCACGUCUCUCUCUUUCUCUCUCCACCCCUCCCCCCUCUCUUCAAUCAAACUUGAGGCGCCUGGAAGUCCCGCCUCCCCGACCGACACGGGUUGGCUGCCGGGGCCCGUUGCCAAGUCCAUUUGCGUCAUUUCCGCUAUCAGGUAAUAAUUUCGUGACCAGAGAUGCGUGCAUUUUUGAAACAAGUUUGAUGAAAGGCUCGUUGGACCCAAAAUUAUUCAGUGAAUUUAUUAGAUGAAAGACCAAUGCCCAAUUAUUAAUAAUUGGCUAAAAAAAUAUUUGAAGUUGUAAAGAAAGGAGCAAAUACCAGUGAGAAGUUUCCUGUAAAGUAUGCCUGGAUAUUUUUCCAGUUUCAGAAUCAGAUUACUUAAAUUGACUUCAGAGCAUGUUCUAGAAGGAAAUGACAAAUAUAACAAGUACUAGUAGUAUCAAGGUGUGCCAUGUCAGUGUUGUUGCUUACAGUGGAUAUUCUGUAAAUAUAGAUUGAUGGAGUGGCAUAAGUACAGUCCUUCUAGGAAAUCGUGGUCAUAUGGACAGAAGAUGUGAUGAAAUUCUUUUCCCGGAAUUUGGUCUGGGCCAGACUGAUAUCCUUUUUCGAUGACUCUGACUGAAGAUGUUUUCACUGUGGGAUGAGGUAGUAGGUUGUAUAGUUUUAGGGUCAUACCCACCACUGGGAGAUAACUAUACAAUCUACUGUCUUUCCCAAAGUGGAGAAAAUCAACAGCUGCAUCAUGGUUUUCAUUUGAAAUGAAUAAAAGAAAUUCACGACUGAGUAGUUUAAGACCAUUCAGUGAGUUACCCUGUAAAUCGUUCUGGUAGUGCAUUUUACUUAAAUGUGCACUAUUUAAUGAGAAUCAGGGUUUUUUUUUUUCCUGAUCCAGAAAAAGUACUUCUGUCUUUCCCCACCAAGUAGUAAACAUCUUAAUAUAUCUUUGUUUAUCAUUUUCUUCACGUGCAUAAUGGCCAAUGGCAAAGUCAUGCAAAUUAGUAGGCACAAAAAGCAAAUAAAAAAGAAUACUUAAAAUGUACUUGUGUUGUUUCCCAAAUGCUAAAGGAUUUGGGAAGAACUUGAGUUUCUUGUAACUGUUAAGCAAGAUAAAGCUUGUUUGAAAUACUCAAGUUAGUUUGUAAGCUCCUUGAGAGCAGGGGUCUUGUCUUUUUUAAAUUCUCUAUCUCCAUUCCUUAGGUAUUUUAUACAGUGCAGUGCACCUUUAGGGUACUCAAAAUAUUGUUGACUUGUUAAGAUGUGUGUGUGACUUUAAAUUCACAAAGAAAAGACGUUGCUAUAGAUGUUCAAGUAUUUUAGGUACAGAAGUCCUUGUAACUCAGUUGUUGUCUGUGUUUGCUAAGGAUGGAUUGCUCUGGCAGAGUGAGGUAGUAGAUUGUAUAGUUUUUAGGGUAGUAAUUUUAUCCUUUUCCGGAGAUAACUAUACAAUCUAUUGCCUUCCCUGAGGAGCAGAAUUUCUACGGUGGUUUCUAUCCGGGUUUGACUGUUGGGAGCAUUUAACUUUAUGCAUUGUUAUUUGUGGUAUGUAAACUUGACUUUUUUUUUCCCCCUCUAAAGCUAAAAUUUUCAUGUCAAUUUUAACAUUCUUUCUAUAUCACCAAGGGGACAGGUUCCAGGUUCUGUUUGUUGGGUAUGGUGCUUUGGUUAUUACUGCCUGUUAACAAUAUUUCACAACUAAGAAUUGACUAGAUCUGGUCAAAGGAUGGUUUGGCUUAGAGUGUCGUUGUCUCCAUUGUCACCUGCAGAUUGACUGGACAGGGCAGUGCAUUAAUUUUAUGGUCUGUGUGGUGGGCAUGGUUAGUGUGUGAGUUGUAGAUGUUCCUGUGUUCCUGACCAGAGAGGAAGAGCAACUGAAAAUCUCUUAAAAGCCAUUGUAGCUAGAAUUUACUGAAGAAGAAAAUGGCUCCUAGCGCCCUCUGGUGUAAAAAUUACUGAGGAGCUUAAGGGGACAUGUUAGUUUGGCUGUGAUGUUUUUUUUGUUUUUUCUUUCCAGUGAACCUUGGAUCUAAGCCUAGGAACUGUAUUGAAAAUAUGCUCUUACCCUUUUGUUUAUAUGCCAUUUACUAACUUUUGUCCCAGGUAGUAUGAUAUGGAAAUGGGAUUUUUUUUAAAAAUUAAUAUAUAGAUUAGUUAACACUGAGAUAACUGUACGUGCCAUCAGGUUGUUUGUGUGUGGGGGGGGGGGGGGGAACCCACCACCAUGUUUAAUUCAUUCCCCAUAGUCUCUUCUAAUUGUCCCUAGACAGAUUAUAUUGAUGUACCUAGGAAAAACAUUAAUUAGCAAUAAACAUUGCUGGGGGGGGGCAUGAUAACCAUUUCUUUUGUACUUAAUCCAAACUGAGCCUUCCAUUAACUUCAUAUCAGAUUUUUCUAAUUUGAAUUACUCUUGAUAACUAAAUUACCCCAAAUCCUUGGAAGAGUGUGUGGAAUCCAGGAGGAGCAUACUCUGUCAAAUUGAGGCAAUGAGGAGUGAGUGGUGCAAGUUAAACCUCUUGGAUUGCGAUGAGACCCGCUAAUUAAAUUGUAGCUUUUUCUUUUGUUUGUGAUUCAUUUUCCCACAUUAUUAGGUAAGCACAGUGUACAAGUGGCCAAUUAAACUUCAAGUUCUUAGAAGAAAGGCACAAAUGGAAAGAUGAAAUUGAUCUAUAUUUCUGAAACUACUAAGUCUAAACAAAGCCCAAAUUUAACAGCGCUUCAGUGCACCUGCCAAAUAGAAGAACCUUAGAAGAAACUAUGGGCUCCUAGGAAGAGGUAGUAGGUUGCAUAGUUUUAGGGCAGUGAUUUUGCUCAUAAGGUGUUAACUAUACAACCUGCUGCCUUUCUUAGGGCUUUAUUAUUACACCGGGACCUGUUACUUGGCUCAGUUUAAGCAAACUUCUGCACGUUGAACUUACAAAAGGACUGGAAAAAACCAAACUUAUUGAAUGUUCUUUGAGCAUUGCAUCAGGGCAUAUAGCUCGAGUGUUUACAUCCCAAGUUUGUGCUGAAGUAAUGCAGGGUAAGUGUAGUUGCAGCUUACAGCAUUAGUAACUUUAAGAUAAGGGUUUUUGAGUUGAAGAUGCUAAAUGCUGCUGUUGCAUUUGAGGUCAGUGAUCUACUUAAAAUUAAUUGAUCUCUGAACUUCUUGUAGCUUGUUUCCCUCAGUACAGUCGUGUUGCUAAUUGGCUGCUAUCUGAUUGUUUUGGGCAGGGUAUAUGUCUGCUAAUUCUCUUGUAUUGUACUCUCCCAAGUGCUCAGUACAGUGCUCUGCACAUAGUAGUUGCUCCAUAAAUAGCAUCGAUCUGGUCUGAAUAGAAACUAUCACAUGUUGCCUUUUUAACAUUAAACCUGGAUGUUAUAUAUUGUCAUACUUUUUGUUCUGUACAAUGUUUCCAUAGAUUGGAAAUCUCCAUUUUACAGAGCAAUUGUGACUUUAUAUACACCUUUAGGGUACUAGAUGUGGGCAGUCAGACUGAGAAAUUUUGUUAACUUCUGAUUAAAUAAGACUGCAUUAAUCAAACUUGUAACAUGUUGUAAACAUUUUGACUUUCCUUAGAACUUCUGUUUUAAUUCAGAUGUGUAAUAACUGUCCUGACUGUCAUUUGAAUAAUUGGAUGCUUCCCUUAGACACUUUACUUGUCAAACUCACUUGGUGAGUACCACAAACUUGUCUGAAGACUAGAUUGUAAACUCAUUGUGUGCAGGGAACAUGUCUACCAACUCUUAUUGUUCUCCCCAAGCAUUUGGUACAGUGCUCUGAAUGCGGUAAGCGGUCCAUAAAUGAUCAACUCUUAAUGACCAUUGACUUGUUUGCAUUGUUCUCAUUUGCUAGCUUUUACAAAUAAAUUCUAAUUUUUGGAAACCAUUA